rnacentral:tRNA from 1 species
GGGUAUAUAGCUCAGUGGUAGAGUGCAUGCCUAGCAUGCAUGAGGUCCUGGGUUCACCCU